rnacentral:rRNA from 1 species
GCUGGCGGCGUGCCUAACACAUGCAAGUCGAGCGGGGUCAAUUGCUUCGGUGAUUGUUCUAGCGGCGGACGGGUGAGUAACGCGUGAGCAACCUUUCUCUCAGUGGGGAAUAACACAGGGAAACUUGUACUAAUACCGCAUGAGACCACAGAGUGGCAUCACUUAGGGGUCAAAGAUUUAUCGCUGAGAGGUGGGCUCGCGUCUGAUUAGAUAGUUGGUGGGGUAACGGCCUACCAAGUCGACGAUCAGUAGCCGACCUGAGAGGGUGAUCGGCCACAUUGGGACUGAGACACGGCCCAAACUCCUACGGGAGGCAGCAGUGGGGAAUAUUGGGCAAUGGGGGAAACCCUGACCCAGCAACGCCGCGUGGAGGAAGAAGGUUUUCGGAUCGUAAACUCCUGUCCUCAGGGAAGAGCAGAAGACGGUACCUGAGGAGGAAGCCCCGGCUAACUACGUGCCAGCAGCCGCGGUAAUACGUAGGGGGCAAGCGUUGUCCGGAAUGAUUGGGCGUAAAGGGCGCGUAGGCGGCCCGUUAAGUCUGAAGUGAAAGUCCUGCUUUCAAGGUGGGAAUUGCUUUGGAUACUGGCGGGCUUGAGUGCAGGAGAGGUGAGUGGAAUUCCCAGUGUAGCGGUGAAAUGCGUAGAGAUUGGGAGGAACACCAGUGGCGAAGGCGGCUUGCUGGACGAUAACUGACGCUGAGGCGCGAAAGCGUGGGGAGCAAACAGGAUUAGAUACCCUGGUAGUCCACGCUGUAAACGAUGAAUACUAGGUGUGGGAGGACUGACCCCUUCCGUGCCGCAGUUAACACAAUAAGUAUUCCACCUGGGGAGUACGACCGCAAGGUUGAAACUCAAAGGAAUUGACGGGGGCCCGCACAAGCAGUGGAUUAUGUGGUUUAAUUCGACGCAACGCGAAGAACCUUACCAGGGUUUGACAUCCAACUAACGAAGUAGAGAUACAUUAGGUGCCCUUCGGGGAAAGUUGAGACAGGUGGUGCAUGGUUGUCGUCAGCUCGUGUCGUGAGAUGUUGGGUUAAGUCCCGCAACGAGCGCAACCCCUAUUGUUAGUUGCUACGCAAGAGCACUCUAGCGAGACUGCCGUUGACAAAACGGAGGAAGGCGGGGACGACGUCAAAUCAUCAUGCCCCUUAUAUCCUGGGCUACACACGUAAUACAAUGGUGGUAAACAGAGGGAAGCAAUAGAGCGAUCUGGAGCAAAUCACUAAAAGCCAUCUCAGUUCGGAUUGCAGGCUGCAACUCGACUACAUGAAGCUGGAAUCGCUAGUAAUCGCGAAUCAGAAUGUCGCGGUGAAUACGUUCCCGGGUCUU